rnacentral:rRNA from 1 species
GCCCAAAAUCUAGCCCCACCACUUAUUAUAAAUCCCCCUUAUCUCUUAUCUACAACUAAAACAUUCUAGCAGUCUAGUAAAGGCGAUUAAAAAAUUUCUUGGAGCCAUAAUUAUAGUACCGCAAGGGAAAGAUGAAAUAAAAAUGAAAUAUCUUUAAGCACAAUAAAGUAGAGCUUAACCCUCGUACCUUUUGCAUCAUGGUUUAACUAGUCUAACCAAGCAAAAAGACUUUUAGUUUGAUCUCCCGAACCCAGACGAGCUACUUUAAGACAGCUUCAUGAGCAAAUCCGUCUCUGUUGCAAAAGAGUGGAAAGAUCUUAAAAUAGAGGUGACAGACCUAUCGAGCCUGGCGAUAGCUGGUUACUCAUGAAACGGAUUUUAGUCCCACUUAAAGACACCUUAAUACUAACAAAUAUCUUUAAAGUUAUUCAAACAAGGUACAGCCUGUUUGAAAAAGGAUACAACCUCAACGCCUGGGUCUCCUUCUAUAAGUUAAUGACCAAGUAGGCCUAAAAGCAGCCAUCUUCAAUAAAAGCGUCAAAGCUUACUCAUUUUUUCCAUUAAUUCCUAUACCUUCCUCCAACCCUACCCCACUAAAGAGUAACUCUAUAUUCCUAUAGAAAUUUUUAUGUUAAAACUAGUAAUAAGAAGAGAACCCUCUUCUCUUUAAUGUUAGUGUAUAUCAGCAAGGACCCCCCACUGAUUUUUAACGUCCCUAAUCCAGUAGUAAUAACUAAUCAAGAAAAGUUUACUUCUCUAUUCGUUAACCUAACACAAGUGCAUUAUAAGAAAGAUUAAAAGAAAAAGAAGGAACUCGGCAAAUUUUAGCCUCGCCUGUUUACCAAAAACAUCGCCUCCUGACUUAAAAUAAGAGGUCCAGCCUGCCCAGUGACAUUGUUCAACGGCCGCGGUAUCCUAACCGUGCGAAGGUAGCGUAAUCACUUGUUCUUUAAAUGAGGACUAGUAUGAACGGCUUCACGAAGGCUACACUGUCUCCUUUUUCUAAUCAAUGAAACUAAUCUUCUCGUGAAGAAGCGAGAAUCCAGAUAUAAGACGAGAAGACCCUAUGGAGCUUUAAACAAAAAGAUACUUACUCUACUUUUCUUUACCUCCUGAGAAUAAAAUACACCCGAGUAUGCUAUUUCAAGUUUUAGGUUGGGGUGACCACGGAGUAUAACUUAUCCUCCAUGCUGAAAGAAACUUUAUUUCUUAGCCAAAAGCCACAGCUUGACACACCAAUAAAUUGACUUAAAUUGACCCAAUAAUUUGAUCAACGAACCAAGUUACCCUAGGGAUAACAGCGCAAUCUAUCUCAAGAGCUCAUAUCGACAGAUAGGUUUACGACCUCGAUGUUGGAUCAGGGUAUCCUGGUGGUGCAGCCGCUACUAAUGGUCGUUGUCAACGAUAAAAC